rnacentral:rRNA from 1 species
UAACCCGGAGAGGUCGUUCAAUCCUCCGGGGCUAGAGGACACCAGAGGAAGCCGGAAUUCCCGGUGUAGUGGCGAAACGCGUAGAUAUCGGGAGGAACACCCGCGGCGAAGNCGGCCUUCUGGACUGUUCCUGACGCCGAAGCCGAAAGCCAGGGGAGCGAACGGGAUUAGAUACCCCGGUAGUCCUAGCUGUAAACGAUGGAGACAGGGACUGGGGGGUGUAAAUUCCCUCGGAGCCGAAGCACACGCGCUAAGCAUCCCGCCUGGGGACUACGACCGCAAGGCUAAAACUCAAACGAAUUGACGGGGGCCCGCACAAGCAGCGGAGCGUGAGGUUUAAUUCGAUGCUACACGAAGAACCGUACGUGGCUUUGACAUGCACGUGGUAGGGAACCGAAAGGGGACCGACCUUCGGGAGCGAGCACAGAUGAGGCAUGGCAGUCGUCAGCUCGUGCCGUGAGGUGUCGGGUUAAGUCCCGUCACGAGCGCAACCCUUGCCCUUAGUUACUAGUGUCUAAGGGGACUGCCCGGGACAAUCUGGGAGGAAGGUGGGGAUGACGUCAAGUCAGCAUGGCCUUUAUAUCCAGGGCUACACACACGCUACAAUGGCCAGUACAAUAGGUAGCCAAGUCGUGAGCCGGAGCCAAUCGUUAAAGGUGGUCUCAGUUAGCAUUGCAGUCUGCAACUCGACUGCAUGAAGCCUGGCGUGCGUAGUAAUCGCAGGUCAGCCAUACUGCGCUGAAUACGUUCCCGGGCAUGUACACACCGCCCGUCACGUCAUGGAAGCUG